rnacentral:rRNA from 1 species
UACGUAGGGUGCAGGCGUUAAUCGGAAUUACUGGGCGUAAAGGGCGCGUAGGCGGCCUUCUAAGUCAGACGUGAAAUCCCCCGGCUUAACCUGGGAACUGCGUCUGAUACUGGAGGGCUUGAGUGCGGGAGAGGGAUGUGGAAUUCCAGGUGUAGCGGUGAAAUGCGUAGAUAUCUGGAGGAACACCGGUGGCGAAGGCGGCGUUCUGGACUGCAACUGACACUGAUGAACGAAAGCCAGGGGAGCAAACGGG